rnacentral:rRNA from 1 species
CCUACGGGCGGCAGCAGUGAGGAAUAUUGGUCAAUGGCCGGGAGGCUGAACCAGCCAAGUCGCGUGAGGGAAGACGGCCCUACGGGUUGUAAACCUCUUUUGUCAGGGAGCAAGGUGCAGGUCGGGACCUGCUGUGAGUGUACCUGAUGAAAAAGCAUCGGCUAACUCCGUGCCAGCAGCCGCGGUACUACGGAGGAUGCGAGCGUUAUCCGGAUUUAUUGGGUUUAAAGGGUGCGGAGGAGGGGGCACAAGUCAGCGGUAAAAUUGUGGGGCGAAACCCGGCUCCGCCGUUGAAACUGUGUGCCGUGAGUGCGCGAAGGGUAGGCGGAAUGCGUGGUGUAGCGGUGAA